AGCCCGCAAGAUACCGAUAAAACCUCAAGUGUACAAGAAGGCCCAAGCAGAGAGGAGGACAAAGGGUGUCAAGAAUGAACCUCAAAAGUGUGAGGACUGAAACAGAAGAGGAAGAUCACCGUUUUAUGGAGUUUUUAAACCAACCAGAACUCAGUAAAGAAACAAGAAAGUGGCAGAAGGAGGUCAAGGCCAUCUUGUUCUCAGACUCUCAAUUUGAUCUCACCGGAACACCUCAUAUUCACCCAUCUUGUUACAACUCAUUGAUUUUCCCUCAUAAAUUUAAGGGAAACAUCUUUAGGGAGAACUAGGUAACCCCAUCUUUUGGGAGAACUAGAGGUAACCCCAUCUUUUGAGAAAUGCGUUUUGUACCAGAUUCGGCGACUGGCAUUUGUAUACAUAUGCCUUCGGUUGGAUUUGUAGUAUUUGUCCAUUCCAUACAGUUUUGAAGUGAGUUUUGAUAUCUUAAUGAUGAACACCCUAUGAAGAGAAGAGUGUGCACCCUAGUUGUUUGCCACCUCAGUACAAAAUGUAUAUGUAAAUGGUUAUAGUUCAUGGUCAUCUGAGACUGUCAGGGGAAGUCUCUAAAGAGGUGAUUUAAAUGUAAAGUGCGUUACGGUAGUUAUACUCUGGAUUUAAGGUGGCUAUAGUGAAUAUGGGUCAAACUGUAUAAUAUUGCACAAAUAGUGAAGGAAGCCUAUCUUUGAGAGCUCUGAAUGAGACCUUGUGUUAACAUGGUUAAGGUUUAUUGUGUUGUAAAAAUGAACUGCCAAACAAUUGCUCCGUGACUUGUGAUACCAUGCUGUGUUUGUUUGUAUCAGAAUUUUCAAUUAGUUAUCUCUUUAAGAUGUGUGUAACCAGAAUUAUGUACAUACUCAUCAAAGAAUUUCAGCUGUGAUUAGUAUGACUUUGGAAUUACAUUUUGCCUUCAAUGGUGUAAUUUUGAUUUGAUUUUUUUUUUUUUGCUUCAGUGUUCUUUGUACUUAGAAAUUAUGUAAAUACAAUUUACUGUUCUUUG